AUUGAACGCUGGCGGCAGGCCUAACACAUGCAAGUCGAGCGAGCGGCGGACGGGGGCGUAAUGUCUGGGAAACUGCCUGAUGGAGGGGGAUAACUACUGGAACCGGUAUCUAAUACCGCAUACCAUCAGAUGUGCCCAGAUGGGCUUAGCUAGUAGGUGGGGUAAUGGCUCACCUAGGCGACGAUCCCUCGCUGGUCUGAGAGGAUGACCAGCAACACGUGAACUGAGACACGGUCCAGACGCCGACGGGAGGCAGCAGUGGGGAAUAUUGCACAAUGGGCGCAAGCCUGAGGCAGCCAGGCCGCGUGUGUGAAGAAGGCCUUCGGGUGGUAAAGCACUUUCAGCGAGGAGGCGUUACUCGCAGAAGAAGCACCGGCUAACUCCGUGACAGCAGCCGCGGUAAUAC
rnacentral:rRNA from 1 species